ACCUCACCACACCCGGAGGUGCUGAAGAAGGGACAGAUGGAAACAGCAUUAAAAGUCUCAAUAAUACUGUUCGAGACGGUAUUAAAUUGUUGGAGGAAGGACGCCUGAGACCAAACAGCUUUACGCAGAGGGCAGUAGACUUCUGUCAAGCUAUUAUGGAAGAAGAAAUAAAUGAAGGACAAUGGGAUUUUGUAUGGAAUAUGAUCAAUGGGGCAAUCACUAUGCGAAAUAAAAAGAGACACUCACCAUCACCACUGAUGUUUACAGAGCAGCAGCCUGCUAGAAAUCCACCUUUGUCUUUUGUUUACGGAGAGGGCCGUGCACAAACACCAU